UACGAAGGGUGCAAGCGUUAUUCGGAGUUAUUGGGCGUAAAGGGUGCGCAGGCGGUAUAUUAAGUCAACUGUUAAAUUUCCCGGCUUAACUGGGAACCAGCAGUAGAUACUGGUAUACUUGAGGGUGGAAGAGAGAAGUGGAAUUCUCGGAGUAGCGGUAAAAUGCGUAGAUCUCGAGAGGAACACCGAUGGCGAAGGCAGCUUCUUGGUCCACAUCUGACGCUCAUGCACGAAAGCGUGGGGAGCAAAC
rnacentral:rRNA from 1 species